UACGUAGGUGGCAAGCGUUGUCCGGAAUUAUUGGGCGUAAAGCGCGCGCAGGCGGUCCUUUAAGUCUGAUGUGAAAGCCCACGGCUCAACCGUGGAGGGUCAUUGGAAACUGGGCGACUUGAGUGCAGGAGAGAAGAGUGGAAUUCCACGUGUAGCGGUGAAAUGCGUAGAGAUGUGGAGGAACACCAGUGGCGAAGGCGACUCUUUGGCCUGUAACUGACGCUGAGGCGCGAAAGCGUGGGGAGCAAACAGG
rnacentral:rRNA from 1 species